ACAGGACCUCAGGUGAGG
rnacentral:rRNA from 1 species